GGAGAGGAUCUCAGAGACCCGAGAUUAUAAUUAUGACGCCCUAAAUGCCAAGCUCUCCAAAAGUCUGCCAUUGCCCUUGCUGUCACCCUGAACAGUUCUGAAAAUUCAAACCCUGCAGCCCCCAGAGCAUGCCCUGGGUUUCUCAGCCACGCCUCACCUGGGAAAUCUGAGUGAUGAUGACGUGCAGGCAGCAGGAAGACACGCAGUAAACCCAGGAGCCUGUGAUGAGCUCAGAAGAGGUCAUUUAACAACUGCUUGCCAUGGGAUCAGGAUGGCUAAGAGGAGGAGCCUGUCCAGUCCUCUCCUACAUGUAAACCCUCUACAACUAGCUCUAAGAAGAGCAGUUCCCUUCAACUGUGCCCCUGUAACUUGGUACCUCCC
ensembl:lncRNA